AGUGAACGCUGGCGGUAGGCCUAACACAUGCAAGUCGAGCGGCAGCACAGUAAGAGCUUGCUCUUACGGGUGGCGAGUGGCGGACGGGUGAGGAAUACAUCGGAAUCUACUUUUUCGUGGGGGAUAACGUAGGGAAACUUACGCUAAUACCGCAUACGACCUACGGGUGAAAGCAGGGGAUCUUCGGACCUUGCGCGAUUGAAUGAGCCGAUGUCGGAUUAGCUAGUUGGCGGGGUAAAGGCCCACCAAGGCGACGAUCCGUAGCUGGUCUGAGAGGAUGAUCAGCCACACUGGAACUGAGACACGGUCCAGACUCCUACGGGAGGCAGCAGUGGGGAAUAUUGGACAAUGGGCGCAAGCCUGAUCCAGCCAUACCGCGUGGGUGAAGAAGGCCGUCGGGUUGUAAAGCCCUUUUGUUGGGAAAGAAAAGCAGCAGGUUAAUACCCCGCUGUUCUGACGGUACCCAAAGAAUAAGCACCGGCUAACUUCGUG
rnacentral:rRNA from 1 species